ACGGGAGGCAGCAGUAGGGAAUCUUCCACAAUGGACGAAAGUCUGAUGGAGCAACGCCGCGUGAGUGAAGAAGGGUUUCGGCUCGUAAAACUCUGUUGUUAAAGAAGAACAUAUCUGAGAGUAACUGUUCAGGUAUUGACGGUAUUUAACCAGAAAGCCACGGCUAACUACGUGCCAGCAGCCGCGGUAAUACGUAGGUGGCAAGCGUUGUCCGGAUUUAUUGGGCGUAAAGCGAGCGCAGGCGGUUUUUUAAGUCUGAUGUGAAAGCCUUCGGCUCAACCGAAGAAGUGCAUCGGAAACUGGGAAACUUGAGUGCAGAAGAGGACAGUGGAACUCCAUGUGUAGCGGUGAAAUGCGUAGAUAUAUGGAAGAACACCAGUGGCGAAGGCGGCUGUCUGGUCUGUAACUGACGCUGAGGCUCGAAAGUAUGGGUAGCAAACAGGAUUAGAUACCCUGGUAGUCCAUACCGUAAACGAUGAAUGCUAAGUGUUGGAGGGUUUCCGCCCUUCAGUGCUGCAGCUAACGCAUUAAGCAUUCCGCCUGGGGAGUACGGCCGCAAGGCUGAAACUCAAAGGAAUUGACGGGGGCCCGCACAAGCGGUGGAGCAUGUGGUUUAAUUCGAAGCUACGCGAAGAACCUUACCAGGUCUUGACAUACUAUGCAAAUCUAAGAGAUUAGACGUUCCCUUCGGGGACAUGGAUACAGGUGGUGCAUGGUUGUCGUCAGCUCGUGUCGUGAGAUGUUGGGUUAAGUCCCGCAACGAGCGCAACCCUUAUUAUCAGUUGCCAGCAUUAAGUUGGGCACUCUGGUGAGACUGCCGGUGACAAACCGGAGGAAGGUGGGGAUGACGUCAAAUCAUCAUGCCCCUUAUGACCUGGGCUACACACGUGCUACAAUGGAUGGUACAACGAGUUGCGAACUCGCGAGAGUAAGCUAAUCUCUUAAAGCCAUUCUCAGUUCGGAUUGUAGGCUGCAACUCGCCUACAUGAAGUCGGAAUCGCUAGUAAUCGCGGAUCAGCAUGCCGCGGUGAAUACGUUCCCGGGCCUUGUACACACCGCCCGUCACACCAUGAGAGUUUGUAACACCCAAAGUCGGUGGGGUAACCUUUCAGGAACCAGCCGCCUAAGGUGGGACAGAUGAUUAGGGUG
rnacentral:rRNA from 2 species